rnacentral:sRNA from 1 species
UACUUGGCAAGUUUGGGGAUUGAUUUGGACAACAGUACUGUGCCCUCCUAUCCAUGGGUGUCUGAGCCCCAUGGUGCAGUGGCAUGGGGCAGCUGUUGAGCAUGUGUGGUCCCAAGGCUGCCGGACACU